rnacentral:rRNA from 1 species
AGGGUCCGUAGGCGGCCAUGUGUGUCGGGUGUGAAAUCCUGCAGCUCAACUGCAGAACUGCGCUCGAAACUACAUGACUAGAGUAUUGGAGAGGUGAGCGGAAUUCCAGGUAUAGCGGUGAAAUGCGUAGAUAUCUGGAGGAACACCAACGGCGAAGGCAGCUCACUGGACAAUUACUGACGCUGAGGGACGAAAGCGUGGGGAGCAAAAGGGAUUAGAUACCCCUGUAGUCCACGCCGUAAACGUUGUGCACUCGCUAUUGGCGGCUUCGACCCCGUCAGUGGCUAAGCUAACGCGAUAAGUGCACCGCCUGAGGACUACGGCCGCAAGGCUAAAACUCAAAGGAAUUGACGGGUCCCCGCACAAGCGGUGGAGCAUGUGGCUUAAUUCGAUGCAACGCGAAGAACCUUACCAGGCCUUGACAUGUAGUGGACCGGGACAGAAAUGUCCCUUCUCUUCGGAGCCGCUUCACAGGUGCUGCAUGGCUGUCGUCAGCUCGUGUCGUGAGAUGUUCGGUUAAGUCCGUCAACGAGCGCAACCCCUGUCCUUAGUUGCCAUCAUUCAGUUGGGGACUCUAAGGAGACAAUCCCGCAUUCGCGGGAGGGAAGGUGGGGAUGAUGUCAAGUCAGUAUGGCCCUUACGGCCUGGGCUGCACUCGUGCUACAAUGCCCGGUACAGUGGGAUGCUACUCCGCGAGGAGAUGCCGACCCCCAAAGCCGGGCUCAGUUCGGAUUGGAGUCUGCAACUC